CUAUGAUCUUCUCUGGAACACGGCAACACAAUCUUGUGAGGAGCUAUCCCAAAUCCAUUUCUCAUUUGCCAUGCUAGUUCCAGUGAGGCAUCAGCUUCAGGAAAAUUGGCACAUAAUGGAUGCUCAUAUCACAUGGAACAAAUCACUUAUUUUCACUGACCAGGAACUGUAUCCAGAAAGAGAGAAAGGCAUGCCAAAUCUAAUCGAUUAUACUUUUUGCCUGGUAAAUAAGGCAGCAUCCUGCCCAGAGUUCCUCUCCUCUAGAGGUUCUCUUCAUCAAGUUACUGAUCAGCACAGCACAUACUGGGCAACCAGAACAGAUGCUGGCAAUUUGACCAUACAAGUACGUACCAGAUGAAUACCAGCCAUGAUCACAUCACCAAAUGCAUUCCAGGUAUAAAAAUUUUAUGGAUAAUGGAGGCAUAAAUCCAAUAAAAUGUCAAAGGUCUUAUAUCUGAAAUCAGGUUUUACUUAUCACUUGCACUUUAUUAAUGCAUUCAAUACCUUUAUUGUUUUUCUAAUACAUGAAACAUGCAUUAUUCAAAAAUAAUCAAAUAAAAAGAAAAAUAAAAUAAUAGUAAAAUAUCAC
rnacentral:lncRNA from 1 species